UUAGAUACCCUGGUAGUCCACGCCGUAAACGAUGGAUACUAGGUGUGGGGGGACUGACCCCCUCCGUGCCGCAGCUAACGCAAUAAGUAUCCCACCUGGGGAGUACGAUCGCAAGGUUGAAACUCAAAGGAAUUGACGGGGGCCCGCACAAGCGGUGGAGUAUGUGGUUUAAUUCGACGCAACGCGAAGAACCUUACCAGGGCUUGACAUCCUACUAACGAACCAGAGAUGGAUUAGGUGCCCUUCGGGGAAAGUAGAGACAGGUGGUGCAUGGUUGUCGUCAGCUCGUGUCGUGAGAUGUUGGGUUAAGUCCCGCAACGAGCGCAACCCCUAUUGUUAGUUGCUACGCAAGAGCACUCU
rnacentral:rRNA from 1 species